UACGUAGGGGGCAAGCGUUGUCCGGAAUCAUUGGGCGUAAAGCGCGUGUAGGCGGUUUCGUAAGUCUGCUGUGAAAGUCGGAGGCUCAACCUUCGAAAGCCGGUGGAUACUGUGAGACUUGAGUACGGAAGAGGAGAGUGGAAUUCCUGGUGUAGCGGUGAAAUGCGCAGAUAUCAGGAGGAACACCAACGGCGAAGGCAGCUCUCUGGGACGUUACUGACGCUGAGACGCGAAAGCGUGGGGAGCAAACGGG
rnacentral:rRNA from 1 species